UUUCUAUGACAGCCUCUCCUACCACUUGCCACAUCCUCAUCUCUCCUCCAGCUCAAGGAAUAACUGGGCAUUUGGAGGUAGCCACCACAUCACCAUAGAAACUCUCAGCUCCUUCACACAAGGUAAUGUCCAGUCCAAAGCCAACUGGCUUCAGAGACAAAUCACUGCUUGCCCUAUACUGACUACUGACUGGAAACAGCUGAGGAUUCAGGUCUUUGCACUCUUUCACCUUGAGUUGUCUAUAUAAAGAAACACAAAAUGUGUUUUGAAAUAGGAAGGAAAAACAAAAAAAAAACCCAACAAAAAAAGAUAAGGAGGAUGUGGUUAUGCCAUUUACUAAGAGCACUGGUAGGGUAUGGUCUACAAGCAAAUCCUGUCGUGCUCUAUAGAACAACUGGGACCAAAGCAACGCUGCUGAUCUGCUUGCUGGGUUCAGUUGUCUGAAACAAUCCUAGAGCUGCAGGCAAUUCCUUCAAGAAACCCCUGCAAGAUGGAGGAAUUUUCUUCAGAAGACUAGAAAAGAGAAAACCUGGUGCCCGUCUCUUAAAAAGUGGAAAAGGAGGAGACCACUAAGCCUGGCUUCAGCAUUUGGGUAACUAUUGGAAUCACCCACUGAAGAAUCUGUUUGCAAGCACCCAGAAGACAAUGCAGGGGUCAUAGGGAUGGCACUGCUUUCCCCAACACUCUCUACUCCAAGAUGAAGACUCAUCUGUCCAGGAGUGAACUCAGCCACCACUGGACUGCACACACCAAGCUCGAACAGACCUGCAGUAAAUCUGCUCCGGAGCACUAGGAUGUCAUCUGUGUUGCCUGAUCUAUACCAACUGACAUACUUUACUCUAAAAAUUAGCCCUCACCCAGUGGCUGGCACCUCCUCCACACCAUGCCAGCUGCUUUUACAUACACUGCCUGUGCUGAACAGUGCUUACUCAUUUAAGCCACAACAGGCAGUGCUGUGGGGAGACAAGACAUGCUUGCAGAACUUGUGGCAAGAUGCAGGUGUCUUGAAGCAACCAUGUCCUGCCAUUUAUCUUCUCCUCACCCCACCUCACCACUUCUGCAAGUCCUCUUUUAGCCAGCAUUUUGGGCCCCAGCCCUGGACCCUGUGGACAGCUUCCCAUGGGUCAAGGAGCAUCAUCCCACAGGUAUGAGAGAUCCUACCCAUGACAGCCCCUUUGCAGCCUGCUCCAUAGCACCCAGAAGUGCUGCCAAAGGCAGGCUGCUGCUUGUGAGCUCUUAGGUUUGUGGGAGGUUUGAAAAAUCAGUUGGUUUUCCCCCCAUUUCCUGAAGUACAACAACUUCAUGGACAGACGGAUGUCCAUGUUUAAAGAAUAAGUGGAAAUCUGCUUUUCUUCUUCAUUUUUAAGCCCCUAGUUACUGCUUCCAUUUUCAUAUUUCCUGAGACAUGGCAAACUACUCUUGUGAGUAAGAGAUGUUGCUCCACAGUUAAUCUUCUUUCCAAUCAAAACUGCAUUUACCUAGUUCAGUGCAUGGGUAAAGGGCUGUUACAGUUCUGAAACUGCAAACAACAGCAUUGAUGGAUAUGAUCACCACAUCAAGAUUGCACACCGCAAACUGUCCUCCUUUUAAAAAGAAUGCAGCUUUAAGUAAACACAAGACAUUCCAGAUAAAGCUAAUAGAAAGAGCAGAGAAAGGAUGUAGGCUGUCUGGUUAUGUGAGAUACAUAUAUAUAUAUGUAUAUAUUACAGAUAUAGAGAUAUUUUAUCUUUUGUACAAUGUGCUAAAAUGAGAGUAGGGUUUCAUUUGGGCCCCCAAGAGCAGUGCCAGGGCUCAGUGUCACUUUUCGGUUCCCCAGAGGUCCUCUCAGAAGCUUUGUUUCUUAGCUGCAUUUUACCACACAGUCUCCUGACUGAACUGCUCCAACCUCAAGCAAAGCGCCCUCUACUGCAAUGUCAAAUAAACUAUAGAGGCUCCCUCAAUAGUCACUGAAGAGCUUGUGGCAUCUCCAGGGAGCAAUUCAGCUUUUUUAGGGUCUGGAUUGCCCUCAACAAGAGUCACUCCAUCCUCUUGCAGGACAGAAGGCUACUUGAACAUUUGGGCUCUCAGAUCACCUGUCUGUGUCCUCCACAUCUGCUGGACCCUUGCAUAUCUAUAUGUUGCCAAUGAAACCAUACAGAUGCUUAUUAGGCAUCUCUGCCACCCUAGUCACCUCAUUACUGACAAAGAUGCAGCCAGCAAUUAUUCCAGAAGCUAGCUGAGCUCUGGAAAGACCAUGCAUGACUACCCUUGUAGGUUAAUAGGAAUCCAAACAGUCAUUAGUAUCUCUAUUAAAUUGACUAAUUGUCGGGUGUUAUUGGGAAAAACGAAGAUUCCAGUGUUUUGCUGAAACCUUCAAUCCAUUUAUUUACUGAGUAAGCAUAACUGUAAUUUGUUUCCCCUUUCCUUGAGUAUACUUUGGCUGGGGAAUUUUCCUCAGUAUUUCCUACAAUCAUACCAAUGCCUGUGGAAUAUACCACUUCUUUUAAUACGAUCCUCAUACCUCAGCUUUAAUCUUCUACAGAGCACUGCCUUUUCUCUGCUUCCACUGCACUGCAGCAUCUUAAGUGUGCUCAGCACAUUACAGUUUCAGUAAAAUCAGAGAACUCUGAACAUCUCCAGCUAUCUCUUUCUAACUUAACUGAAAUCAUACUGCAAAGCAGGGCCUGUGACACAAUUGCCUUGAAACCAUAGGAGAUCACUCGACUGGUUUAAAUAUGACUGUGGUUCUUUUGGCUUUUUUCCAUGUAACAACAAGCACUAAGCUCAAUAAAGACAGUAAAAUUAUUACCAGGAAAUAAAACCUUCAAAACCUGUUUCUCUUUAGGCUUUUGUAGUAAAAACACAAAGGAAUCCUGAGAAUUAAAUCUUUUUUCUUAGAAGUAGACAGUGUGAUUCAUUUUGAGUCACAAACGUCCCUAAAUGAAUCUAAAUCACAUUUGCCUAAUUUACAAAGAGAAACCUAUUCUUUCUUCUAUUUUGAAUUCCACCACUGGAAAUUCAGCUUGGGGAAUUCAGCUGGAUCAUUGCUUAGUUACAUAUCCCCGUCAAACAAAUUCUGUGCUGACUAAACUCCCUAGAAAUCCAUUUCACUGCUAUUUUCUGGCAACACACAGACAUAAGGAGGGACCAAAGCUGACGCUACAGCUAGAGCCUCACCAGCAAGGAUGCUGACAAUGUGAGAGAAUGAGCACAUGGCUCCCUUUCUACGCUCAUACUGGAGAGCAAACCCCUGCUCUCUCUUACACCAUUAUUCAUUUAGAACACAGCCUAAUGCUUCUAGUAUCAUCACUUGUGGGUUUCAGUCUAACUCAGUGGGAAUUGCCCCUGUGUUGGCUCAAUACUGCAGACAGGAGAAAAACAGAAGCAAAAAAGUCCUACCAUCAAUUAAAGUAUUUCAUAAGUGCACCAAGUACCAAGUCUAUUACGUAUAAAAUGUGUCCAGGUAGCUCUUUAGAGACAGAAUUUGCUAUCACCACCUUCAGCAAACCAACCAGUGAGAAUUCUCUCCUGUGAAAACCUGACAAGACUUAACCUUAGCUUGUAAACAGAGAACAUAAAUCAUGCUCUGUCUCCCAGCAUCCAGUAGGUGGGAAUUAGCAGAGAGACAUUUCCCUACUUUCAGCCUUCAGCUACACCUUGCUUCCAGACUUUUGCCCUUGAAACACCCUUGGUCAUGCAUCAAUGGCUUGGUUUUAUUGUCUCCUGCUUUUAAGCUGCUGUCUUUGACUUUCUGGUGCAUUCUUCCUACAAUUUCACCUUUGGACAUAUCAAGAGGUGUGACCAGCUAAAUCUUUCAUCCUGUUUGCAACCAGUGCACCCACUGAUGAAAACUCUUUUCAAUGUUAACACCAAAUAUUG